rnacentral:rRNA from 1 species
UACGAAGGGUGCUAGCGUUGCUCGGAAUGACUGGGCGUAAAGGGCGCGUAGGCGGUUUGUACAGUCAGAUGUGAAAUUCCCGGGCUCAACCUGGGGGCUGCAUUUGAUACGUGCGGACUUGAGUGGGGAAGAGGGUCGUGGAAUUCCCAGUGUAGAGGUGAAAUUCGUAGAUAUUGGGAAGAACACCGGUGGCGAAGGCGGCGACCUGGUCCUUGACUGACGCUGAGGCGCGAAAGCGUGGGGAGCAAACAGG